rnacentral:sRNA from 1 species
GGAGGAGUGUGCCAGGGCCAUUUGUCCUCCAGUUUACUUGAUGCCAAAUUUCUCCUGUGAGCAGGUUGUACUCGUAAAACAAGGAUCAUCGAUGUUGUCUACAAUGCAUCUAAUAAUGAGCUGGUUCGUACCAAGACCCUGGUGAAGAAUUGCAUCGUGCUCAUCGACAGCACACCGUACCGACAGUGACUCCUGAGGAAGAAGAGAUUUUAAACAAAAAACGAUCUAAAAAAAUUCAGAAGAAAUAUGAUGAAAGGAAAAAGAAUGCCAAAAUCAGCAGUCUCCUGGAGGAGCAGUUCCAGCAGGGCAAGCUUCUUGGUGAGAAGGCUGUUGUGUUGGAGGUGGGGAGUCGCAGAGAUUGAGUGUGCCGAGGCACUUUUCCCUUGUCUCAGUUCCUUUGACUGCCAGCCAUGCGGUCUAAAGGGUUCACUGAUAACAGGCUGCAAGCACAAAGGGGAACGUUUGGUCACCCUAUUCGUAUGAAGCUGAAAUGGGAAGCAUUGGGUAGAAGAGUCUGUAUAGGCCCGUGCUUGGAGUCUUUGUAUUUGGGGAAGUCUCUGCCCAGGCUGAGGGGGCUGUCUCAGUGAUGAAAAUUUUGUCCAGUUCUGCUACUGACAGUAAGUGAAGAUAAAGUGUGUCUGAGGAGACAGCUGGCUUCAUGCUUGCCCCCAGGGUACCUGAACCCACAGAGAUUCUUAAGGGGGUGGAGAGGUUUGGGUGGGGCCACCUUGUCGUUGUGCUAAGGAUCACCUACUCUCUUGCAGCGUGCAUCGCUUCAAGGCCGGGACAGUGUGGCCGAGCAGAUGGCUAUGUGCUAGAGGGCAAAGAGUUGGAGUUCUAUCUUAGGAAAAU